rfam:Kibdelosporangium aridum strain DSM 43828 genome assembly, contig: LX79DRAFT_scaffold00003.3
AUCGCGGGAUGCCGUGAGGCCUCGGCCCGGUGGCGAUCGACCCUGGCGCACCUUCCCCGGCGCCAGGUUCGCUUCUCCGGGCUGGGACCUGACGGCAUCUGCUUUCUCUA